rnacentral:rRNA from 1 species
CAGUCGCCGCGGGAAUACGUAGGGUGCGAGCGUUAAUCGGAAUUACUGGGCGUAAAGCGUGCGCAGGCGGUUGUGUAAGACAGGUGUGAAAUCCCCGGGCUUAACCUGGGAACUGCGCUUGUGACUGCACAGCUAGAGUAUGGCAGAGGGGGGUGGAAUUCCACGUGUAGCAGUGAAAUGCGUAGAGACGUGGAGGAACACCGAUGGCGAAGGCAGCCCCCUGGGCCAAUACUGACGCUCAUGCACGAAAGCGUGGGGAGCAAACAGGAUUAGAUACCCCAGUAGUCCCUGUCUCUUAUAC